rnacentral:ncRNA from 1 species
CAAAAGGCAAGGAAGAGAAAUAGUAUAUAUCGUGGAAGUUUCAGAGAGAGGAUGAAAGGUGCGAAUCCUUACAGAAAUGAUAUAGAAGCAGUCUUGGAGCUGUGAACCGAACAGAGUAAUCUAAGUAGAUUUCACCGGAUUUCCACCGUUAUAGGGAAAAAGUAUCGGAGCAAUCCCGUACUGGUGAGAGCAGAGUAAAAUCUGAAAUUAGGUGGUAACACGGACAGAAUAGUUCGCCCUAAGC